rnacentral:snRNA from 1 species
AGCUAUUAACUAAUUAUUUAAAUUAUAACACUUCAAGUAAGACUAGCAUGGCCCUGCGCAAGAAUGCCACAUAAACUCGUGAAAUGUUCCAAUUUUUU